CGAAGUUAAGAAAUUGUUUCUUAACUUUUAACUAAAAAAACUAAGAACUGAUUCUUAAAUAAGGAUUUUAAGAACCGUUCUUAGUUUUUUUUAGUUAAAAGUUAAGAAACAGUUUUUUAACUUCC
rfam:Brassica napus, WGS project CCCW01000000 data, contig: 27865